rnacentral:rRNA from 1 species
UACGGGGGGAGCAAGCGUUGUUCGGAAUCACUGGGCUUAAAGGGCGCGUAGGCGGGCUGACAAGUCUGGGGUGAAAUGCCGCGGCUCAACCGUGGAACUGCCUCAGAUACUGUCGGCCUCGAGGAAGGUAGGGGCAUGCGGAACAUUGGGUGGAGCGGUGAAAUGCGUUGAUAUCCAAUGGAACUCCGGUGGCGAAAGCGGCGUGCUGGACCUUUUCUGACGCUGAGGCGCGAAAGCUAGGGGAGCAAACGGG